CCUACGGGUGGCUGCAGUGGGGAAUAUUGGACAAUGGGGGGAACCCUGAUCCAGCCAUGCCGCGUGUGUGAAGAAGGCCCUCGGGUUGUAAAGCACUUUCAGUGAGGAAGAACGCCUGGUGGUUAAUACCCAUCAGGAAAGACAUCACUCACAGAAGAAGCACCGGCUAACUCCGUGCCAGCAGCCGCGGUAAUACGGAGGGUGCGAGCGUUAAUCGGAAUUACUGGGCGUAAAGCGCGCGUAGGUGGCUUGAUAAGCCGGUUGUGAAAGCCCCGGGCUCAACCUGGGAACGGCAUCCGGAACUGUCAAGCUAGAGUGCAGGAGAGGAAGGUAGAAUUCCCGGUGUAGAGAUGAAAUGCGUAGAGAUCGGGAGGAAUACCAGUGGCGAAGGCGGCCUUCUGGACUGACACUGACACUGAGGUGCGAAAGCGUGGGUAGCAAACAGGAUUAGAUACCCCAGUAGUC
rnacentral:rRNA from 1 species